rnacentral:pre_miRNA from 1 species
AAUAAGUGCGGUUUUGCACUAUUCACGUUCAACGUUUGACUGUCCGUCUUAUUUGAAAUUUUUUUAUGAUUAGUAUUUUUAUUGCUAUUAGAUGAUAAAACAUAAAUAGUACUUUAUGUGUGACUAAUUUUUUCAUUAAUUUUUCAAAUAAGACGGACGGUUAAACGUUGGACACGGAUAUCCACGGCUGCACUUAUU